AGCACCCGUCCCUGCUCGCCGGCAACGAGCUCCGUCCCUGCUCGCCGGCGACGUGCUCCGUCCCUACUCGCCGGCGACGAGUACUGCCCCUGCGACGUGGAUCCAGCUCCGUAGAUGGCAUCUCCCAAUUUGAGCGGUGCUAGUGCAACUGGUAGCAUAGGAUCUGCAGCCACAGAGGCAACAAACAUCAAGGCUCCACUUUGGGAUCAUGUCACCAUUUUAGAGAAGCCAAGAUCUGGUGGAGGAAAUACUAUGUGGAAAUGCAAGUACUGUCCAAUGCAAAAACUGAGUAGUUACAGUAGAGUUGAAGCUCAUUUGCUGCAGAAGGGGGGAAAGGGAAUAGGUAAAUGUCCUAAUGUUACAUAUGAGAUGCUUAGUGCAAUGAGGAAGGAAGUUGAAAGGUGCAAGAAUCUGGUGGAAAGAUCCAAGUCAAGAACUGUUUCUCUGCCUACUGCUCCUUCCUCGAGCAAUACUGAUGACACCAACAAGAGGACCAAGAGGGGGGCCCUUUCUCAAUUGGAAAAGGCUUGGAGACUGGAAGACCAUAACCACUUGGAUGCUUUAAUCAGUAGAGCAAUUUAUUCUGGAGGGAUAUCUUUCAAUUUUUUGAGAAAUCCAUACCUUCGAGAAGCCUUUUCCUUUGCUUGCAGCCGCAACAUGCAAGGUUAUGUGAUUCCUGGUUACAACAGAGUUAGAGAGGGACUGCUGAAGCAAGAAAGGAGGCACAUAGAGCAAUUGUUGGAGAGCACAAAGAGCACAUGGUCAGAGAAGGGAGUAACAAUCUGCACUGAUGGUUGGUCAGAUCCUCAAAGGCGACCAAUAAUCAAUUUUGUUGUUGUUUGUGACAAGUCACCUAUGUUCUUGAGGGCUGAUAAUUGUCAAGCUGAGAUCAAAAACAUGGACUACAUUGCUGACAAGUUGAGAGGUAUAAUUGAUGAAGUAGGUCGAGAUAAUGUAGUGCAAAUCAUUACAGACAAUGCUUCAAAUUGCAAAGGUGCUGGUCUCAUUAUUGAGGCUGAGUAUGAAAACAUAUUUUGGACACCAUGUGUUGUGCAUACCCUCAACCUUGCUAUGAAAAGUAUAUGUGAACCAAAAAUAGGAAACAAUCCUUCUGAUGAUGAGAUAUUUAUUUGGCAGCAACUUGAAUUUAUAUAUGAUGUCAAAACUGAGGCUGCUUUGAUAAAGAAUUUUAUCAUGAAUCAUGGCAUGCGGCUUUCAAUGUUCAAUGAGUUCAGCCGUUUGAAGUUACUUUCUAUUGCUGAAACAAGAUUUGCCUCUGUUGUAUGUUUGUUGAGGUAAAAUCAGCCCUCCAACAAAUGGUGAUUAGUGACAAAUGGAGCAUCUACAAAGAAGCCAGAGAUGAUUCUCCAACUCCAACGGCCCAAAUUGUCAAGGACUUGAUACUUAAUGAUGUAUGGUGGGACAAGGUGGACUACAUUCUUAGGAUUACCACUCCUAUAUAUGAAAUGAUUCGUAUGACAGACACCGACACACCAUGCCUUCACUUAGUUUAUGAGAUGUGGGAUUCAAUGAUAGAGAAAGUGAAGAAAGUCAUAUAUCGAUAUGAGGGCAAGCAAGAAGAUGAGGAAUCAGACUUGUACUCAGUUAUUUAUGACAUACUGAUUGCUAGGUGGACAAAAGGAAAUAAUCCACUACACUGUUUAGCUUAUUCACUUAAUCCAAGAUACUAUAGCAAAAAGUGGCUUGAAGAAGGUGUUGGCCGUGAACCACCCCACAAGGAUAAAGAGGUAUCGAAAAUGAGGAUGGUUUGCUUUAAGAAGUUAUUUCCCAUGCUAGAAGAGUUGGCUAAAGUAAAAGAAGGGUACUCAAGAUUCUCUAGUUGUUCAGAAGAAUUUAAUGAUCCUGACUCAAUCCAUGAUAGAUGGGUUGUUUCCCCUAUGACUUGGUGGACAAAUCAUGGACAAUCUGCUCCCUUAUUGAUGAGUUUGGCCAUGAAAUUGCUUAACCAACCAGCCUCAUCUUCUUGCUGUGAAAGAAACUGGAGCACCUAUAGCUUUGUCCAUAGUGUCAAGAGAAAUGCCUUAACUCCAGAGCGUGCAGAAGAUUUGGUCUUUGUGCACUCAAAUCUGAGGCAUCUGUCAAGAAGAACUGAUGCAUACAAGUCAGGAGAGACAAGAAUGUGGGGUGUAGGAGGGGAUUCUUUUGAUUCACUUGGUGGUAUUGGCAUUCUUGAAGUGGCUGACCUGUCCCUUGAUGAACCUGAAUUGUAAUAUGUGACUUUUGGUUUGGAUGCUGAUGCUCAGCAGGUUGAUGACAAUGAAACAAAUGAGGAACAGGAACUUGAUGGGAUCCUGAAUUGCAACUUGCAAGCCUGAAUGCCUUAUUGCCUUUUGCUUUUAUUGAUUUUCUAGAAUAAAUUUGAGACUGUUGUGUUUGAGAAUUUGAGGCCUGCUGCUAUGCUGUAAUAGAACUUAAGUAGUUAAGUAGAUUGGCACUUUUAUUGUUGACAAUUUGAGACCUGCUGGCUGCUGCUAUGUUACUCUGCACUUGUGAUUUGUGAAUUUGAUGUUCUGUUCGGUUGUU